rnacentral:rRNA from 1 species
UGUCCCGGUUCUAGCCUGUAGGCGUGCUGCGUAGGCAAAUCCGCGCGGCUUAGCUGAGGGGUGAUAACGAGCGAACUUGUUCGCGAAGUGAUUGAUACCAUGCUCCCAGGAAAAGCCACUAAGCUUCAGCUAUUGACGACCGUACCGCAAACCGACACUGGUGCGCGAGAUGAGUAUUCUAAGGCGCUUGAGAGAACUCAGGAGAAGGAACUCGGCAAAUUGAUACCGUAACUUCGGGAGAAGGUAUGCCCUGAUUAGGUGAACUUGUACAAAGGGAGCCGAAAGGGGUUGCAAAAAAUCGGUGGCUGCGACUGUUUAAUAAAAACACAGCACUCUGCAAACACGAAAGUGGACGUAUAGGGUGUGACGCCUGCCCGGUGCUGGAAGAUUAAAUGAUGGGGUGCAAGCUCUUGAUUGAAGUCCCAGUAAACGGCGGCCGUAACAAUAACGGUCCUAAGGUAGCGAAAUUCCUUGUCGGGUAAGUUCCGACCUGCACGAAUGGCGUAACGAUGGCCACACUGUCUCCUCCUGAGACUCAGCGAAGUUGAAAUGUUUGUGAUGAUGCAAUCUCCCCGCGGAAAGACGGAAAGACCCCAUGAACCUUUACUGUAGCUUUGUAUUGGACUUUGAACGGAUCUGUGUAGGAUAGGUGGGAGGCUUUGAAGUGUGGUCCUAGAUCACAUGGAGCCAACGUUGAAAUACCACCCUGGUGCGUUUGAGGUUCUAACCCAGGUCCCUUAUCGGGAUCGGGGACAGUGCAUGGUAGGCAGUUUGACUGGGGCGGUCUCCUCCCAAAGCGUAACGGAGGAGUUCGAAGGUACGCUAGUUACGGUCGGACAUCGUGACGAUAGUGCAAUGGCAUAAGCGUGCUUAACUGCGAGACUGACAAGUCGAGCAGACGCGAAAGCAGGACAUAGUGAUCCGGUGGUUCUGUAUGGAAGGGCCAUCGCUCAACGGAUAAAAGGUACUCUGGGAUAACAGGCUGAUACCGCCCAAGAGUUCAUAUCGACGGCGGUGUUUGGCACCUCGAUGUCGGCUCAUCUCAUCCUGGGGCUGUAGUCGGUCCCAAGGGUAUGGCUGUUCGCCAUUUAAAGAGGUACGUGAGCUGGGUUUAAAACGUCGUGAGACAGUUUUGUCCCUAUCUUCCGUGGGCGCUGCAGAUUUGAGGAAGCCUGCUCCUAGUACGAGAGGACCGGAGUGGACACACCUCUGGUGUAUCGGUUGUCACGCCAGUGGCAUUGCCGAGCAGCUAAGUGUGGAAGAGAUAACCGCUGAAAGCAUCUAAGCGGGAAACUCGUUUCAAGAUGAGAUCUGCCGGGGCCUUGAGCCCCCUAAAGGGUCGUUGUAGACCACGACGUUGAUAGGCUGGGUGUGGAAGUGCAGCAAUGCAUUAAGCUAACCAGUACUAAU